rnacentral:rRNA from 1 species
UACAGAGGGUGCGAGCGUUAAUCGGAAUUACUUGGCGUAAAGCGCGCGUAGGCGGCUUUGCAAGUCGGGUGUGAAAUCCCCAGGCUUAACCUGGGAACUGCAUUCGAGACUGCAUUGCUAGAGUAUGGGAGAGGGAAGUGGAAUUUCCGGUGUAGCGGUGAAAUGCGUAGAUAUCGGAAGGAACAUCAGUGGCGAAAGCGACUUCCUGGACCAAUACUGACGCUCAUGUGCGAAAGCGUGGGGAGCAAACAGG